UUAAGUCGACCGCCUGGGGAGUACGGCCGCAAGGUUAAAACUCAAAUGAAUUGACGGGGGCCCGCACAAGCGGUGGAGCAUGUGGUUUAAUUCGAUGCAACGCGAAGAACCUUACCUGGUCUUGACAUCCACAGAACUUUCCAGAGAUGGAUUGGUGCCUUCGGGAACCGUGAGACAGGUGCUGCAUGGCUGUCGUCAGCUCGUGUUGUGAAAUGUUGGGUUAAGUCCCGCAACGAGCGCAACCCUUAUCCUUUGUUGCCAGCGGUCCGGCCGGGAACUCAAAGGAGACUGCCAGUGAUAAACUGGAGGAAGGUGGGGAUGACGUCAAGUCAUCAUGGCCCUUACGACCAGGGCUACACACGUGCUACAAUGGCGCAUACAAAGAGAAGCGACCUCGCGAGAGCAAGCGGACCUCAUAAAGUGCGUCGUAGUCCGGAUUGGAGUCUGCAACUCGACUCCAUGAAGUCGGAAUCGCUAGUAAUCGUGGAUCAGAAUGCCACGGUGAAUACGUUCCCGGGCCUUGUACACACCGCCCGUCACACCAUGGGAGUGGGUUGCAAAAGAAGUAGGUAGCUUAACCUUCGGGAGGGCGCUUACCACUUUGUGAUUCAUGACUGGGGUGAAGUCGUAACAAGGUAACCGUAGGGGAACCUGCGGUUGGAUCACCUCCUUACCUUAAAGAAGC
rnacentral:rRNA from 1 species